rnacentral:misc_RNA from 1 species
AAGUCGUAACAAGGUUUCCGUAGGUGAACCUGCGGAAGGAUCAUUAGCGAAGUUCGGAAUGCCGGUUCGGUGCUGCAGCUGCCCAGCGAUGGGAUGUGCUUGUCCGGGCCGGUGUCCCUUCUCUAUUCCACCCCACUGUGAACCAAGCGUGCGAGCAGAAGAGAGAUCGGAAGCUCGCAUGCACACUUUAACAUACCCCUUAUGAAGUAUCUGAAUGUACCUUGCGUUAACUCGCACAAAUACAACUUUCAACAACGGAUCUCUUGGCUCUC